rnacentral:tRNA from 1 species
GCGCCCGUAGCUCAGGUGGAUAGAGCACUGGAUUCCUAAUCCGGGGGUCGCGUGUUCGAAUCACGCCGGGCGCACCA